rnacentral:lncRNA from 10 species
GUGACGUCGAUGUGACGGAGAUAUUUGUUCAGGUGAUGGGACUUGAGUGGGCCUUGGGCCAGACCUCCACCCCCAGGGACCACCCUUCUAGCACUGAAAGGCAAUAGUCUUCACACUGGCUGAAUCCUGUAUUUUCUCAAUCCUCCAAAUCCGACCAACUUCUCUAAAUUGUACUGCAAGGUUUUGGCAGCCAGAGCUCCCACUCCUUGCCACCAUCCCACCGCCACCACUGGAGGUCAGAAAUGACACAAUUAUAGCCUCUUUUUUUUUUUUUUGCUUCUUUUUUUUUUUUUGUAGGGCAAAGGGCCAGCUUGUUCCCUCUGCAACUGGAUGAGCUGAAUUGGCAGCAGACAACCAGCGUUUCUCAGGAAGCUGUACCAACAAGAUGCAAAAGGGAGAGGUGGAGCAGAGGAGGGCAGUUCAUGAGCUGAUUGUGCUAAGCCCUGUCAAAUAAUCCUUUAGAAACCCGAUGGUAAUCAAUGCCACCCAAGGGCAAGCUACUCUAAUCAUAGAAAAAUUCUUGUAUUAUUUGUGUUUCUCAAAUCUCACUACUCAGAGUGGGAGCCGCGGACCAGCAGCAGUAGCAGCAAUGCCUGGGAGCUUGCUAGAAACACAGAAUGUCACUCCCCACCCCAGACUAAUGAGAAUCUGCGUCUUGACAAGAUCCCUGGCUGAUGCCUGUACAGCUUUACAGUUUGAAGAGCACUGGUCUAAAGGCAACAAAUCAUGAAGAUUUUAUUUCAAAAAUCCAAGGGCCCUUGGGACCCCAGAGAAUGCCACUUCACUUGAAUAAAACCAGACCUGGGUGCCCUCUCUACCACGGGGGAAUUGCCACUUUGACCCUCCUGAACACUCUACUUAAGACUCAGGUGUGUCCCUCUUGUCUCAUCCUUCAGUGAGCCCCCACGACUGGAAGCGCCCGUGGGCAAGGACACAGGUCACGGGGCAACCUCUGCCCUCAUGUGUGCCUCUCAUCUCUCGCUCAUGCCUUCAGCACAGAACUGAGCAUUUGCUGUCCAUCAGGCCCUGGGGUGGCUCUCUGGCUACAGAGAGAAAGGAAGAUUCCUGCCCCGGAGGGGCUCCCACUCUAUGGGCUGAUGCUGGAGGGAGAGAGAUGACAGUAGCUGGUGAGUGGGAGAAGUCUUUAGACUCUCAGGCCCCACGUGCCAUCACUGACAGGCUGCUCAUGACAGCCAACAUCAGAAAGCCAAAUGUCCUGGGAGUAGGAAUCUCUGUCUUCCCGGGGAAGGCUCCAUCCAUGCAGUAUCUGUCACGUGCAAAGAGACAGCUUCCAAGACACAGCGUGUGCACGUGGUAUUGAACAUUAAAGAGAACGUAGGCUGCCGAGUGUGCUGUGUGCCAUCUUGAUGUGUUAUUCUCCUCCAAAAGAGUUUGUCUUUUUUUUUUUUUUUCAUUUAUUUUCUCAGAAAGCGAAACUCGCAUCCAGGAAAACGACAGCAUCAGGAGAGUGACUCAGUGUUCUCUCAUGUUGCUCAGUCCUCGCACUUUCUUCAAGCAGCCUGGUGGGGAGAAAAU